rnacentral:lncRNA from 1 species
UGUGGAAUAAAUCACUAAAAAUAAGGAAGAUGAUUUUAGAAGUUUUAAAUUACAAUUAAAAAUAUUUUUAUUAGAAAAUUUUUUAAAAUCAUGGGAUUUGAUUGAGCCUAGAAUUUGAGUUUUGUAAUAUAAAUAUGGAUAAUUUUUCUGAAGAGGGAUUUUGAUGAAGUAAAAAAUGUAGUGACCCUGGAAUUUAGCAUUUGAGGCUUGUCGACAGCUCUGGAGAGUGUCGGGACGAGUCUGAGUACUGUUGGCAUGAAAUAGACGCAAACUGGACUCAGCAGAACGCGAGAGCAGAGAGUU